UCGGAUUGUAGUCUGCGACCCGACUACAUGAAGCUGGAAUCGCUAGUAAUCGCGGAUCAGAAUGCCGCGGUGAAUACGUUCCCGGGUCUUGUACACACCGCCCGUCACACCAUGGGAGUCGGAAAUGCCCGAAGUCUGUGACCCAACCUUAGGGAGGGAGCAGCCGAAGGCAGGUCGGAUGACUGGGGUGGAAGUCGUAACAAGGUAUC
rnacentral:rRNA from 1 species